GACGAACCGUCCGAACGUUAUUCGGAAUCACUGGGCUUAAAGAGUGCGUAGGCGGCUUGCCAGGCGGGGUGUGAAAUCCUUCGGCCCAACCGAAGAAUUGCGCUCCGAACCGGCAGGCUCGAGGAAGAUAGGGGCGAGCGGAACAGAUGGUGGAGCGGUGAAAUGCGUUGAUAUCAUCUGGAACACCUGUGGCGAAAGCGGCUCGCUGGGUCUUUUCUGACGCUGAGGCACGAAAGCCAGGGUAGCGAACGGGAUUAGAAACCCCCGUAGUCC
rnacentral:rRNA from 1 species